GUCUCUGUAGCUCAGUUGGAUAGAGCGUCCGCCUCCUAAGCGGAAGGCCGCUGGUUCGAAUCCAGUCAGGGACGCCA
rnacentral:tRNA from 1 species